rnacentral:rRNA from 1 species
CCUACGGGAGGCAGCAGUGGGGAAUUUUGGACAAUGGGCGCAAGCCUGAUCCAGCCAUGCCGCGUGUGGGAAGAAGGCCUUCGGGUUGUAAACCACUUUUGUCAGGGAAGAAACGGCUUUUUCUAAUACAGAGAGCUAAUGACGGUACCUGAAGAAUAAGCACCGGCUAACUACGUGCCAGCAGCCGCGGUAAUACGUAGGGUGCAAGCGUUAAUCGGAAUUACUGGGCGUAAAGCGUGCGCAGGCGGCUUUGCAAGACAGAUGUGAAAUCCCCGGGCUCAACCUGGGAACUGCAUUUGUGACUGCAUGGCUAGAGUACGGUAGAGGGGGAUGGAAUUCCGCGUGUAGCAGUGAAAUGCGUAGAUAUGCGGAGGAACACCGGAUGGCGAAGGCAAUCCCCUGGACCUGUACUGACGCUCAUGCACGAAAGCGUGGGGAGCAAACAGGAUUAGAUACCCUGGUAGUCCACGCCCUAAACGAUGUCAACUGGUUGUUGGACGGCUUGCUGUUCAGUACGAAGCUAACGCGUGAAGUUGACCGCCUGGGGAGUCGGCCGCAAGGUUGAACUUAAAUGAUUGNGNGNGNGAGNGCGAGGCGACGACGAGGGAGGAGG